AAGCGCUCAUGACCAGACUUGGGCUUGGUUGAUCAUCCAGGGUUCUCCCUGGUGCACUCUUCCAGCCCAGGCCAGCAUCAGUUCGCUGUGGGGGAUAAAGGCUUUGGGAAUGUGGCACUCUUCGGGGUGUGUUAUAGCCCGUUGUGUAAUACCCUGGGGGGGACUGAGGUUCGCGCAUCUGCAAGGAUGCUGGCGUAAUGGUCAUCAACGA
rnacentral:rRNA from 1 species